rnacentral:rRNA from 1 species
UACGGAGGGUGCAAGCGUUUAUCCGGAUUCACUGGGUUUAAAGGGUGCGUAGGCGGGCAGGUAAGUCCGUGGUGAAAUCUCUGAGCUUAACUCAGAAACUGCCAUGGAUACUAUUUGUCUUGAAUGUUGUGGAGGUAAGCGGAAUAUGUCAUGUAGCGGUGAAAUGCUUAGAUAUGACAUAGAACACCAAUUGCGAAAGGCAGCUUACUACACAAAUAUUGACGCUGAGGCACGAAAGCGUGGGGAUCAAACAGG